CACUCCACGCAGGGGUACUCGCCGGCCUGGCCGGCGUGUUGAGAGAAACCCUUCGUACCAGUACGGAUAAUGCCGAUGCUGGGAGCGUGCGCGGUUUCUUC
rnacentral:ncRNA from 1 species